UCGGUCAGCUCUAAGCGCAGCUUUUUUCGCCGCCGGCGUCUGCGAAGGCGAUGCCCAGCUCGCCGCGCUUUGGUUCGGCCGGUCUCGUCACUCCGCCCACUAUGUUAACCGUCGCGGCGGCAUUCGGCUCCGGGCCCGGCUGGGUUCCUCAGCGCCGCUGCGACGUUGCAUUACUCGUGAGCGCGAGGUGUUUGUGUUAUUGCCUGAGAGGGUCCGUGGCCGCUGAGGACGAGUAAGGCCGACGGUCACCGUUUCUCCCGGUACAAACGCACAUGGAGGAGAGGAGCUCCGGAGGAGGAACCAGCCGCGGCGGCGGAGGAGGCUGAAAAGGCCCCGUCAGGAGGGUGCCCAACGCGUAGAAGCCGAUGUCGAGCAGAUUUUCCGCGGAGGAGGAGCCCGGAGAAGGGGCUGAGAGAUCGAUCUCUUCUGCGAGGCCGCAAGCUCCUUCAUCAGCGCCACCUCCGAGAAGCCCAAGGUUAGCAUCAUGGCCACCUUCGCCAUGAAGCUUUGCCCCUCCUAGGUUUCAUAGAACAGUGGCAGUUGUUAAUUGCUGUCGAAACUCCAGUUAUCUAGAACUGUAGCAGGACCUAUGGUUAUCUGGAACUGUAGCGAACUCUGGUUACCUGGAAGUUGGAACUGUAGCAGGUUAAUUGGAAUGGGUAGAUGAUGGUUAGUGUAUAGUUGGGCAGUUGUAAAUAGGAACUACUCGGUGCUGCUAUUUGGAACAAUAGUGCUGGCUUUCCACUCCCAUAUGGUUUCUGUUAUGUUGAUUUGGUUAAUUUUUACAUGGAUUUUGCUUGACUGAGAACUGGAGGUUGUGGGGAAAAUUUACAUGAUUGCGGAAUUUUCUUGAACAAUCCUUUGAUAGUUCAACUGCCUGGCAUUGUGAAAUUAGAAGAACCAUGUGGUGCUGCUUUCAGGAAAUCGUUGCCUCAUGGAUCCAGUGCUUGAAAAUGGCAAUGUUGCUAAAAUAGCCUACCGAAAUUUCUUAUAUUAUGGAACAGAGGCUUCCGAUGCUGAUGAAGACGACUUUGCUCUACCAUCUGCAACAGAUUCUCAGGACUGCAUGCAAGUUCUUACCAGGUGCAGAAGCAAUUUCUGUUCUCUCUUAAGCUGAGCUCUGCCUUGAAAUCCAGCAUUGGUAUUAUUGCUGCUUCCGUCAGUGCUCAUGUAUUGAUCAUCAGAAGGAAGAUGAAGAAUGCCAGCACUCUCAUGGUUUGCAUUGCCAUUAUCUUUCUUAUUUUGUGCUUCUAGUUUAUGAAUGGUAGUUAACACUGGUUGUCCAUCGGUUAGUACCAGUCAUUAGUCAGUCUCCUUAAAGUAACUUAUCCAUAAGUUAAAUGUCAAGUUCAAUAGUCGCUUUGAGGACAUGGAAGCCUAACUCAAUCCAUGAAUCCAAAUACUAUUCCAUUCUAAUGCUAUCAUUGGCAUCUGUGCGCAUCCAGAUUGUGGAUUGAGCUAUGGUUGUUGCCUGCUUCAGGAUCGAUGAAGUUUUCUACAUGAAAUUUAUUUCAGUUUUGCUCAAGCUGCAUACUUAGUGUCUGCUCUGAACAGGUAAUGUUUAAUUGGCAUGCAAAUGUCCAUUUCGCAGAGAAGCCAUUUUCCAUCUUUUGCUUCACUUUUGUAGGGAUAUGAAAUUUUUGUUGCCUGUAUGUACAUAUGAAUCUGAUGGUUGUCCUGUUGAUUUAUUAGCU